rnacentral:lncRNA from 1 species
UUUUCCUUUGUCUGUAUAUCUAAACGCAGAUUCCCGGUCAGAAUAUUAUCGCUUUUUUAUGAGAAAAAUUGCAUAAAAAUUGAUUUUAAACAGCGGUUGACAUGCUUCGAAGUACGGUAAUGGAAUAUUUAGAAUUAUUUUGUCACGAAUUGCGCCAUGCUCGUCACCCUUAUUUAGCCUUUAGGAUAGUGUCUAGAACGCACGAACAAAACGCCGCUGUUUGGAUAUAACGAUGGAUUAUUUUGGACCAAACCAACAUUUGUUAUUGAAGUAGAAGUCCUGGGAGUGCAUUCUGACGAAGACAACAAAGACACAAGAUGUCCGUAACCCGGCCUAGUUCUCUACAGCUUCUGUGAGUGCUCCUACCCAUGCUAUGGCCUCUUUGUCUUCGUCUUCUGACGAUAAUGCGAAAUCGUCAUCAGAAAAUGUGGACCAAAACGCAGCAGGACGUGACACCGGCCUCUGUGAAGACCAUCUCGCCUUUGUCCCAGACCACCUCUGCUACAGCCUUUGUGAAGACCACCACUGUCUCUGUUGUCUCUCAGGGCACCGCUAGCUCUGCUAUAGCCUCUAAGAGGAACCUCAGAGAGCUGAUUGGUGUGUGAACUACCUGCUCAGGCAGACUGGGAAAGCCAUGCAGGACAUGAACCCCAACUCGGAGGAUACUGAUUCAAUGAAAUUACGUUGGACCAACAUGGAAUAGAUGUUGAAUUGACGUCUGUGUCCAGUGGGCUAUUAUCCCUACCACGUUAGAAGUUCAAAAUGGCAAUAGAAAUGGUAGGCUAUUGCAUAAUUUUCAUAUUAUUUUGGAUGGAGGGAUUUAAAGCCUAACAGUCUAAUCUGGAGUAGGGCCUAUAGCCUAUUUGUAACACGGCUGCAUGGGAUUUGUCAGAUAUAAAGACGGGUGGUUUCCUUGCAUUGAAGGGCAGUGUAGGAAAUAAGGUAACACAAGGAGCCGCUUGUAGAUUUGACAGCUCUAAUGCAUUUCCACCUCCGACACCUCCAAAACAACCGCUAUGUGGUUGUGUUGUGCUAUUCACUGAGUUGUCAUACGCACUCAUUACCUUGGGCCCCUAGGGGUUGUGUGUGUGUGUGUGUGUGUGUGUGUGUGUGUGUGUGUGUGUGUGUGUGUGUGUGUGUGUGUGUGUGUGUGUGUGUGUAUGUGUGUGUGUGUGUGUGUGUGUGUAACGUUUCACAUAAUAAACAUGUUUCUAUAUUUCAGCCACUUCUUUGAAUUAGUAGAUUGUAGUGUGGCUCUGAGUAAAUUGUCAUACAUCCCACUGGGCACACACAGGUUAAAUCAACAUUGUUUCCACAUUGAAUUGCCAUCUGUGCCCAGUGGGAUGUGAUGUAUUUAUAAUUAUAUCAGGUAAUAUGCAGUCCACAAGAAUCCACAACAGAUAACUGAUCAUUUAAGAUACUAAUUGUAUAAACAAGGUAACGGGGGUAUAGUACAGUAAUAAACCAAGCUCAUUAGAACAACAGUUCUAUAUGUUAUGAUUAUACUAUCAUAAUCGUUCCAUUAACUCAGGUGAUCUUAAAUUCACCAAUGUGAAAAAUAAUAGCGCUGUUGGAAACUAUAGUGUUUGUUUAGAAAUUCUAUUUUGGGGAUUUGAACUGGGGACCUUCGGGUCCACUCUCCUUCCUCAAACACAGGAAAAGGCAGCAUUUUCAUUGUUUUUCAGCUUAUCAUAAUAAAUAAUGAAUAAUAAACACUUAUGAAGAAGAACACCACAUUUUCCCCCUUCUGUUUUCAAUUUUUUCUAAAAUGUUCCAAUGUUUUUCCUCCCUUUUUUUCUCCCUUCCCCUUCUUCCCCCAUCUUAACAUACUAUUGUUCCCCAGCUUUGGCACUUGAAAUGAC